UAUAUUAAACUUCAUCGUGUAAAACCAAUCACUCUCUUCUUCCUCAGCACAACGACUCACUUCCCUGAUGAUUCUUCCUUAGCGCCGCUGUCAUCUUUCGAUGCCUACCGCCAUCACCUAAUCUCUGUUCCACAUUAUUCUUCUAUUCAUCUCCAUUUCUCCUUUGCUUCAUCUCUGUCGUUCUCCUCUCUUGUCAACAUAGAGGCGUCUUCAACUCAACCUCCCUCUUUUCGUCCUCUCAUCAGCUCCAACUCCUUAUAUCUCACACUUCGAUUAACCUCUUAUGCGCGAACAACUCAAAAUCGAAACGAAGCCAGGACCUAG